UACGUGGAGUCCAAGCGUUAUCCGGAUUUACUGGGCGUAAAGCGUCUGUAGGUGUCCCGUUAAGUCUUCGGUGAAAUCUCCGGGCUCAACUCGGAAACUGUCGAGGAAACUAGCGGGAUCGAGUUUGGUAGAGGUAGAUGGAAUUCUUGGUGUAGGGGUAAAAUCCGUUGAUAUCAAGAAGAACACCAGUGGCGAAGGCGAUCUACUGGGCCAAUACUGACACUGAGAGACGAAAGCGUGGGGAGCGAACGGG
rnacentral:misc_RNA from 1 species